AUGGCUCAGAACGAACGCGUGGUAGCGUGGAUUAGGCAUGCACGUCGAACGGGAGUCCGGAAGGCAGCAAUGUCGGCCGGUGAGAGUGGCGGAAGGGCGAGGAACACGUGGGCAACCUGUCUUGAGGUGGGGAAAACCUCGGGAAACUGAGGCUAAUACCGAAUGUGGCGCGGAAGGGCAUCCUUCCUGCGCUAAAGGGGGCGAAAGCUCCCCCUCUUCGAGGGGCUCGCGCACCAUCAGCUAGUUGGCGGGGUAACGGCCCACCAAGGCUCACGGUUAGCUGGUCUGAGAGGAUGGCCAGCCGCACUGGGACUGAGAUACUGCCCAGACUCCUACGGGAGGCUGCAGUCGAGGAUCAUUCGCAAUGGGCGAAAGCCUGACGAUGCGACGCUGCGUGGAGGAUGAAGGCCUUCGGGUUGUAAACUCCUGUCAUGAGGGAAAAGGAGACCCCUGCCCAAUACGCAGGGGAUUUGAUGGUACCUCAAGAGGAAGGGACGGCUAACUCUGUGCCAGCCGCUGC
rnacentral:rRNA from 1 species